rnacentral:rRNA from 1 species
AACGUAGGUGACAAGCGUUAUCCGGAUUUACUGGGCGUAAAGCGCGUUCAGGCGGUUUGGCAAGUCGGGCAUGAAAUCUCCUGGCUCAACCAGGAGGGGCUGUCCGAUACUUCCAGACUUGAGGGCAGUAGAGGGUGGUGGAAUUCCGGGUGUAGUGGUGAAAUGCGUAGAUAUCUGGAGGAAUACCGGUGGCGAAGGCGGCAUCCUGGACCGGCAUUGACGCUGAGGAGCGAAAGCCAGGGGAGCAAAGCGGG